CAAUUCCUCUAAAUUGUUCCAUAGGAUCGGAAAAGAGCUAUUGAACUGAGUAACUUUUCCAUUUUGCUCAUUAGAAAGAUGGCCAUCAAGUUAACUUUAGCGAACAUUUUCUCACUUCUCCUUUUGAUUUCAGGCAUGUUGAUCACAAAUCAAGUGGCUAAAGUAAUGGGUACGGCAUGCAAAGAAUCAUGGAGGGAUGUGGAAGGUUGCAAAGAAGUUGGUUAUCUAACUUGUAAGAGGAGUUGUGUUUGGAAGCAUGGCUUUGAUUCCUAUGGUUUUUGCGAAAAAUCAAGUUGUAUUUGCUACUACACAUGUUCUGGUAAUUGAUUAGUUAUUUUGAUGCUUAGAACUGCCUAUGGGACAUUAAGAAAAAACAUAUGAAAGAUUAGAUAUAAUAUAUUUGAAUAAUUCUCUUUCAAAGCAUAUGUAUUGUUAGUGUUGCAAGUGUGAGGAGUGUUGAAGUUAGUCUCACAUCAAAGAAAGCAAGGAAGAGUAAGGAGUUUACAAGAUAAGAGAUCUAUUAACUUGACACUUUAAAAUUUUGAGUUGGAUGUGGUGUCUUCUUAUCUUA